rnacentral:rRNA from 1 species
GACGAACGCUGGCGGCGUGCUUAACACAUGCAAGUCGAACGGAAAGGCCCUGCUUUUGUGGGGUGCUCGAGUGACGAACGGGUGAGUAACACGUGAGUAACCUGCCCUUGACUUUGGGAUAACUUCAGGAAACUGGGGCCAAUACCGGAUAGGAGCUCCUGCUGCAUGGUGGGGGUUGGAAAGUUUCGGCGGUUGGGGAUGGACUCGCGGCUUAUCAGCUUGUUGGUGGGGUAGUGGCUUACCAAGGCUUUGACGGGUAGCCGGCCUGAGAGGGUGACCGGCCACAUUGGGACUGAGAUACGGCCCAGACUCCUACGGGAGGCAGCAGUGGGGAAUAUUGCACAAUGGGCGGAAGCCUGAUGCAGCAACGCCGCGUGCGGGAUGACGGCCUUCGGGUUGUAAACCGCUUUCGCCUGUGACGAAGCGUGAGUGACGGUAAUGGGUAAAGAAGCACCGGCUAACUACGUGCCAGCAGCCGCGGUGAUACGUAGGGUGCGAGCGUUGUCCGGAUUUAUUGGGCGUAAAGGGCUCGUAGGUGGUUGAUCGCGUCGGAAGUGUAAUCUUGGGGCUUAACCCUGAGCGUGCUUUCGAUACGGGUUGACUUGAGGAAGGUAGGGGAGAAUGGAAUUCCUGGUGGAGCGGUGGAAUGCGCAGAUAUCAGGAGGAACACCAGUGGCGAAGGCGGUUCUCUGGGCCUUUCCUGACGCUGAGGAGCGAAAGCGUGGGGAGCGAACAGGCUUAGAUACCCUGGUAGUCCACGCUGUAAACGGUGGGUACUAGGUGUGGGGUCCAUUCCACGGGUUCCGUGCCGUAGCUAACGCUUUAAGUACCCCGCCUGGGGAGUACGGCCGCAAGGCUAAAACUCAAAGGAAUUGACGGGGCCCCGCACAAGCGGCGGAGCAUGCGGAUUAAUUCGAUGCAACGCGUAGAACCUUACCUGGGUUUGACAUGGAUCGGGAGCGCUCAGAGAUGGGUGUGCCUCUUUUGGGGUCGGUUCACAGGUGGUGCAUGGCUGUCGUCAGCUCGUGUCGUGAGAUGUUGGGUUAAGUCCCGCAACGAGCGCAACCCUUGUUCACUGUUGCCAGCACGUUAUGGUGGGGACUCAGUGGAGACCGCCGGGGCCAACUCGGAGGAAGGUGGGGAUGACGUCAAGUCAUCAUGCCCCUUAUGUCCAGGGCUUCACGCAUGCUACAAUGGCUGGUACAGAGAGUGGCGAGCCUGUGAGGGUGAGCGAAUCUCGGAAAGCCGGUCUCAGUUCGGAUUGGGGUCUGCAACUCGACCUCAUGAAGUCGGAGUCGCUAGUAAUCGCAGAUCAGCAACGCUGCGGUGAAUACGUUCCCGGG